rnacentral:lncRNA from 1 species
CGCAGAGGUCUGAGACCUCCAACCUUGUAUUUUUCUUUUACUAUAAUUUUUUCUUUUCUUUUUGUCUUUAAGAAACAUUCACUCAAUAAAGUCAAAUUUCUCAUCGUGGAUGGCUUCUCCUUUCUUCCUUCCCCCUUUUUUGCUUUUCUUUCUACAAUGAGAUGUGUCUUGACGCUUUUGUCUCUCGAUUGUAGUGUCCUGCCGAAGCACUUCUCCUGUCCCAGGGG